rnacentral:pre_miRNA from 1 species
AAUAAGUGUGGUUUUACACUGUUAAUGUCCAAUGUUUGGUCGUUCGUUUUAUUUAAAAAAUUUUAUGAUUAGUAUUUUUAUUGUUAUUAGAUAAUAAAACAUGAAUAAUACUCUAUGUGUGACUAUCUUUUUAAAAAAAUUUAUUUUUUUUAAAUAAGACGGACGGUUGUAGAUAUGGAUAUCCACGACGGCUAAGCUUAUU